UCGCCUGCAGAAGGGCACUGGCGUGCAGUCCAGCGUCGGUGCUAUUGGAUACCCCAGAGCCAGGCCAACAGGGAACGGGUCUGAGGCCACUGGCAUGGCUGGCAUCUUGGUCUAAUAAUAAUCAGGUCUUCCUCCAUUCUUGAGAAGAAACUUUUCAUCAGCAGUAGUCCAUUUCCAGAAAUAUACU
rnacentral:lncRNA from 1 species